AGAAGCUUGGCUUCUCUGAUGUUAGCGGCGGACGGGUGAGUAACACGUGGAUAACCUACCUAUAAGACUGGGAUAACUUCGGGAAACCGGAGCUAAUACCGGAUAAUAUUUUGAACCGCAUGGUUCAAAAGUGAAAGACGGUCUUGCUGUCACUUAUAGAUGGAUCCGCGCUGCAUUAGCUAGUUGGUAAGGUAACGGCUUACCAAGGCAACGAUGCAUAGCCGACCUGAGAGGGUAAUCGGCCACACUGGAACUGAGACACGGUCCAGACUCCUACGGGAGGCAGCAGUAGGGAAUCUUCCGCAAUGGGCGAAAGCCUGACGGAGCAACGCCGCGUGAGUGAUGAAGGUCUUCGGAUCGUAAAACUCUGUUAUUAGGGAAGAACAUAUGUGUAAGUAACUGUGCACAUCUUGACGGUACCUAAUCAGAAAGCCACGGCUAACUACGUGCCAGCAGCCGCGGUAAUACGUAGGUGGCAAGCGUUAUCCGGAAUUAUUGGGCGUAAAGCGCGCGUAGCGGUUUUUUAAGUCUGAUGUGAAAGCCCACGGCUCAACCGUGGAGGGUCAUUGGAAACUGGAAAACUUGAGUGCAGAAGAGGAAAGUGGAAUUCCAUGUGUAGCGGUGAAAUGCGCAGAGAUAUGGAGGAACACCAGUGGCGAAGGCGACUUUCUGGUCUGUAACUGACGCUGAUGUGCGAAAGCGUGGGGAUCAAACAGGAUUAGAUACCCUGGUAAUCCACGCCGUAAACGAUGAGUGCUAAGUGUUAGGGGGUUUCCGCCCCUUAGUGCUGCAGCUAACGCAUUAAGCACUCCGCCUGGGGAGUACGACCGCAAGGUUGAAACUCAAAGGAAUUGACGGGGACCCGCACAAGCGGUGGAGCAUGUGGUUUAAUUCGAAGCAACGCGAAGAACCUUACCAAAUCUUGACAUCCUUUGACAACUCUAGAGAUAGAGCCUUCCCCUUCGGGGGACAAAGUGACAGGUGGUGCAUGGUUGUCGUCAGCUCGUGUCGUGAGAUGUUGGGUUAAGUCCCGCAACGAGCGCAACCCUUAAGCUUAGUUGCCAUCAUUAAGUUGGGCACUCUAAGUUGACUGCCGGUGACAAACCGGAGGAAGGUGGGGAUGACGUCAAAUCAUCAUGCCCCUUAUGAUUUGGGCUACACACGUGCUACAAUGGACAAUACAAAGGGCAGCGAAACCGCGAGGUCAAGCAAAUCCCAUAAAGUUGUUCUCAGUUCGGAUUGUAGUCUACAACUCGACUACAUGAAGCUGGAAUCGCUAGUAAUCGUAGAUCAGCAUGCUACGGUGAAUACGUUCCCGGGUCU
rnacentral:rRNA from 1 species